UACCAGCACCCGAGUGGUCGGGACGUUUAUUGGGCCUAAAGCAUCCGUAGCCGGUUCUACAAGUCUUCCGUUAAAUCCAGCUGCUUAACAGAUGGGCUGCGGAAGAUACUAUGGAGCUAGGAGGCGGGAGAGGCAAGCGGUACUCGAUGGUAGGGUAAAAUCCGUUGAUCCAUUGAAGACCACCAGUGGCGAAGGCGGCUUGCCAGAACGCGCUCGACGGUGAGGGAUGAAAGCUGGGGA
rnacentral:rRNA from 1 species